rnacentral:rRNA from 1 species
GACGUAGGGCGCGAGCGUUGUCCGGAUUUAUUGGGCGUAAAGAGCUCGUAGGCGGCUUGUCGCGUCGACCGUGAAAACUCGCAGCUCAACUGCGAGCCUGCGGUCGAUACGGGCAGGCUAGAGUUCGGUAGGGGAGACUGGAAUUCCUGGUGUAGCGGUGAAAUGCGCAGAUAUCAGGAGGAACGCCGGAGGCGAAAGCGAGUGACUGGCGCGUUCCUGACGCUGAGGUGCGAAAGCUAGGGGAGCAAACAGG